CCUGGCUCAGGAUGAACGCUAGCGGCAGGCUUAACACAUGCAAGUCGAGGGGUAACAUUGUAGCUUGCUACAGAUGACGACCGGCGCACGGGUGCGUAACGCGUAUAGAACUUACCUUUUACAGAGGGAUAGCCUUUAGAAAUGAAGAUUAAUACCUCAUAGUAUUAUUGAUUGGCAUCAAUUAAUAAUUAAAGAUUUAUCGGUAAAAGAUGGCUAUGCGUCCUAUUAGCUAGAUGGUAAGGUAAUGGCUUACCAUGGCUACGAUAGGUAGGGGCCCUGAGAGGGGGAUCCCCCACACUGGUACUGAGACACGGACCAGACUCCUACGGGAGGCAGCAGUGAGGAAUAUUGGGCAAUGGAGGUAACUCUGACCCAGCCAUGCCGCGUGCAGGAAGACUGCCCUAUGGGUUGUAAACUGCUUUUAUACAGGAAGAAACACUCGUACGUGUACGAGCUUGACGGUACUGUAAGAAUAAGGACCGGCUAACUCCGUGCCAGCAGCCGCGGUAAUACGGAGGGUCCGAGUGUUAUCCGGAAUCAUUGGGUUUAAAGGGUCCGCAGGCGGUCAAUUAAGUCAGAGGUGAAAUCCCAUAGCUUAACUAUGGAACUGCCUUUGAUACUGGUUGACUUGAGUCAUAUGGAAGUAGAUAGAAUGUGUAGUGUAGCGGUGAAAUGCAUAGAUAUUACACAGAAUACCGAUUGCGAAGGCAGUCUACUACGUAUGUACUGACGCUCAUGGACGAAAGCGUGGGGAGCGGACAGGAUUAGAUACCCUGGUAGU
rnacentral:rRNA from 1 species